AUGGUCCAAUAAGGAACUAAGAAAAAUUGUUACGAAAUAUUACGUUUUAUAUUUUUCGAAAAAAAAAAACUUUCCGAAACCUGUACGAUCGCUGGGGGAGUGUAUCGAGCACAGAAAUACUACGUAACACGCCCAACUAGUUUUUUUGACAAGUUGACCAUGUUAAGCAUGAGAAGACAGCACGUUUAACAUUGUAAAGAAGUCAGAAUGCAUGACACACCUUUGCACCACCCCUUUAAAAUAACUUCAAGUUCUUGUAUUUCAAGGGUUCAACGUCCUGCCUGGGAGCUUCUCCACCUCAGGGUCAACGCUCUUUCUGGGAAACUUUUCCACCUCAGCAGAAGAGUUGUUUACAGGGACAAAGGGACAAAUCUGAGUCCCAGGUACCUCCAGCAGCUGCUGCUGUUCCAAGAACAG